rnacentral:rRNA from 1 species
UACGAAGGGGGCUAGCGUUGCUCGGAAUCACUGGGCGUAAAGGGUGCGUAGGCGGGUCUUUAAGUCAGGGGUGAAAUCCUGGAGCUCAACUCCAGAACUGCCUUUGAUACUGAAGAUCUUGAGUUCGGGAGAGGUGAGUGGAACUGCGAGUGUAGAGGUGAAAUUCGUAGAUAUUCGCAAGAACACCCGUAGCGAAGGCGGCACUCUGGGCCGAUUCUGACACUGAGGAGCGAAAGCGUGGGGAGCGAACAGG